GCCAGAAGGAUGCAACCAGUUUUCUCCCUUGCAGGCCCUUGUGUCUGACAAUGCAGUCCACUGUGGAGUUUUUGCCGUAUGUGUGCAGUACAAGGGUGCUGGUCGUGUUGCACUUCUUCCCAUCAGCUUCAAAUUCAUGAGACCAAUGGCUCGGACUUCGUGGCAAACAUGUUAAAUUUCUAACCGAAAUCUAACCUCAGCCAGCUGCCUUGUGUGUGUGGGCUCUGGUCACAAAGGAAAGCAGGUGAACAAGAGUGGACAGUAGGUGAGGGAGAGACCUGGAUUCCGGACCUACCUCUAUCACUGGCUGGUUGUAAGAACUUUGGGUUACGCUGGGCACACUGAUGGAGAGCUGGGUGGCAGAGUGAUGAAGAAGCUGGUAUCUGGAAUUUUUUAAAGCUGUACAAGAAGAAAACAGAGCUGUUAUGAGGAAAGGAAAUUACGAAUGCUAGACGGGACAAAGAUUCAGAUUGUAGGAUUCUAGUUGUUUUUCCAAGGAUGUUCAGCAGCGUCCUGGGCCUUCACCUGCUAGAUGCCAGAAGCAGCCCCCUGACCUAUUUCUAACAACCCAAACCAUCUCCAGACAUGGUUCAAUCUUCUGGAGGGCAAGACCAUUCCAGGUGCAGAACCACAGAGACAGAUCAAGCCAUUAUGCAGCUGAAAUCCCAGAAUGUCCAUCUUCUCCCAAUUUCCCAAAAGAAAAAUGAAAUAAAACACCAGAAAGCAUUA